CUUUGCACAAACUAUCUGGUUUCAAGUUGCGACUCUCCGGAGUCCCUGGGAAGGUGCCCCAGGGACAGGGCCCCCAGGAUUGAUGAGACUCCCCCAUCCCCAGCCGCCCAGAGGAUAAGCAGGUGCCAUUGGAAGCCAGAAGAAGCCAUCAGUUCUACUGAGGCUGGAGCUACAGGUAGUCGUGAAUUGCCUGAUGUGGAUUCUAGGACGGAACUCCAGUUCUCCACAAAAGCAUCAAUUAUGUUUCUGCUUUGGAGCUUCUGGCAAGCUGUUGAAGGAGGUAUCUAUAACUACCGUGAUUCUGGACCCUACGAAGAGACGUUCAUGAUGCUUCACACAUUCCACAGUUCUUCACAGCCUGUGAACCGUCAUGCUACUAAAAGAAUGUCCACAUGAAUACUGUUGGGGGAAGUAACCACGUGAAGACUUUAGAAAAAGACCCCCUUGGGCCCAGGUAAAGAUCAUUACUGAAAUGUCC
rnacentral:lncRNA from 1 species